UACGGAGGGUGCAAACGUUGCUCGGAAUCAUUGGGCGUAAAGCGCACGUAGGCGGCCUGUUAAGUCGGGUGUGGAAGCCCUGGGCUCAACCCAGGAAGUGCACUCGAAACUGGCGGGCUUGAAUAUGGAAGAGGGUCGCGGAAUUCCCGGUGUAGAGGUGAAAUUCGUAGAUAUCGGGAGGAACACCAGUGGCGAAGGCGGCGACCUGGGCCAAUAUUGACGCUGAGGUGCGAAAGCGUGGGGAGCAAACAGG
rnacentral:rRNA from 1 species